rnacentral:rRNA from 1 species
CGUGCAGGCGGGUUGGUAAGUCAGAUGUGAAAGCCCUGGGCUCAACCCAGGAAGUGCAUUUGAAACUGCCAUCCUAGAGUAUGGGAGAGGAGAGUGGAAUUCCCAAUGUAGAGGUGAAAUUCGUAGAUAUUGGGAGGAACACCCGUGGCGAAGGCGACUCUCUGGACCAAUACUGACGCUGAGACGCGAAAGCGUGGGGAGCAAACAGGAUUAGAUACCCUGGUAGUCC